CCGCACGCAUGAUGCGCUGGAGGCGCCGC
rnacentral:sRNA from 1 species